UUGAACAAUGAGGAUUUAUGCAAGGAACUUAAUUACAUUUAUACUAUGGGCCAUAAUCACAGAUAUGCUAAGCAGUUUUUACAUAGCAUACACCAAGCAGUGAAGACAUCCUAAGACUCAGAACACCAAGAUAGGAACUACCAGCUGAUGCAGCAGAACACUUUCAUACUAUUACCAUACAACAUGAGUAAUUCUAAAGUCUUAAGAGAAAUAAUAAGUAAAGCAGAGAAAAAAGUAGCUACAGUGAGGACACCAACCCUUUUUAACACCAUAUGCAAUGAGAAAGACCAAGAAAAGUUAACAGGAAGUCGGGCGUGUACGAGCUACGAGUAAAGUUUUCAUACAAUAACAGAGAAGCCGCAUACAUAGGAGUAACAAACAGAACUCUACACCAAAGACUUGACAAACACAAAAGGUACAUAGAAAUGAGUAGAUUAACAACAGCACUGGCAGAACAAGCCUAUUCUAAUGAUAUACAGAUAUACUGGGACCAAGUAAAAAUAAUAAAACCAAUCAUAAAAUCAGCACAAGCAAUAACCGAGGAAACAAUAGAAAUUCUAAGAAGGGCAGAAAAACAAGAGCUCAUAAACGAUACACCCACGGCUGAACUACCUGCGGCUUGGAAAUAUUUAAUAAAAGAAUAGAGUUAGAUUAUAAUUGUAGUAAGAUCAAAUACUUAAAAUCGGACAUUCCAUAUGAAAAAAACCCAAAAAACUUUAAUAGUGUUAAGUG
rnacentral:lncRNA from 1 species